rnacentral:rRNA from 1 species
GCUCAGGACGAACGCUGGCGGCGUGCCUAAUACAUGCAAGUCGAACGCUUCUUUUCCCACCGGAGCUUGCUCCACCGGGAAAAGAGGAGUGGCGAACGGGUGAGUAACACGUGGGUAACCUGCCCAUCAGAAGGGGAUAACACUUGGAAACAGGUGCUAAUACCGUAUAACAAUCGAAACCGCAUGGUUUCGUUUUGAAAGGCGCUUUACGGUGCCGCUGAUGGAUGGACCCGCGGUGCAUUAGCUAGUUGGUGAGGUAACGGCUCACCAAGGCCACGAUGCAUAGCCGACCUGAGAGGGUGAUCGGCCACAUUGGGACUGAGACACGGCCCAAACUCCUACGGGAGGCAGCAGUAGGGAAUCUUCGGCAAUGGACGAAAGUCUGACCGAGCAACGCCGCGUGAGUGAAGAAGGUUUUCGGAUCGUAAAACUCUGUUGUUAGAGAAGAACAAGGGUGAGAGUAACUGUUCACCCCUUGACGGUAUCUAACCAGAAAGCCACGGCUAACUACGUGCCAGCAGCCGCGGUAAUACGUAGGUGGCAAGCGUUGUCCGGAUUUAUUGGGCGUAAAGCGAGCGCAGGCGGUUUCUUAAGUCUGAUGUGAAAGCCCCCGGCUCAACCGGGGAGGGUCAUUGGAAACUGGGAGACUUGAGUGCAGAAGAGGAGAGUGGAAUUCCAUGUGUAGCGGUGAAAUGCGUAGAUAUAUGGAGGAACACCAGUGGCGAAGGCGGCUCUCUGGUCUGUAACUGACGCUGAGGCUCGAAAGCGUGGGGAGCAAACAGGAUUAGAUA